AGCGUCCGGCGCGCAGAGUUGCCAUGGAAACGGCGCGGGACCACUGCUACUGGUAAGCAACAAAACUCCCUCUCUCGAUGUUGUUUCAACUUUUCACGGCUUUUUCCAGAUCCUUCAGUGCUGAUGCCCUGCAACAUAGCGGAGUGGAGCUGAUCUUCAUCUCUAAAGCACUAUUGAUGAACCAUAUGAUUAAACAAGUCUGUGACUGACUUAAUGAACCCAGUUGCUUUGGAUCAUGCUCAAAGAUGUAAGGGUUACAAAAAGUUAACCAGAACUCUUAUGGACUCCAUCUUCUCUUUCGAAGAGAUGGCAGCAUGAACGGAAAAAAAGGGGUUGUUGGUGAAAAAAGAGCCUUGACCUACAAAAGGUGCAGCUAAUAAUUGACCAUGUCAAAAAGAGGCACCCAGGCAUCGGAGGCACUGAGAUCAAGGUCUGCAUGGCACAAAAGUUAAAAGAUCUGAGGAGACGAGCAGAAAGGAUGCCUGCUGCAGGAGACACAAAGGACUGAGACAACACACUUUCACAAACGCACACCACACACACACACACACACAUGCGCGUAUA